CUUUCCUGCACUGCCCAAAACCUUUUGCGGAAACGGUUCUCCGAACAAAAUAAUUAUUAUUGCAUGUUCGUGUUCUCGACGUGGUCGGGUACUCCAUUAAUUUGCGGGACGCCGUCGAAGCGGUCGUACACUAUAAGCGGAAAAGAAUUUCACGAUAUCAGGAUACACACUUAUAAAUGAUAAUCUUAAGAUAUAAUAAGAGUGUAAGACCCUCAUCUUAGUUUUUGGUCAUCCGUGUGCAAGAGUAGCAGUAAGUAUAGACAGGUGCAGGCGUCAAGUAUAAAAUAUAGGACUACUACAGCUGUAGUAUACGUCAUCCUGUUUCCUGAAAUAGUACACGCCCAUAGAAUGUGAUGUUUAUUGUUGGGACCACGCGAGCGCAUAGCAACAUUGACUGACAAACCGUAUUAUGAUUUCACUCGACGGCAAACGUUUGUUUCGAAAAAAAAAAAAAGCGUAAUCUAAUAUUAUAAUCGAGUUUGUUUAUU